UACGUAGGGUGCGAGCGUUAAUCGGAAUUACUGGGCGUAAAGUGUGCGCAGGCGGCCGAGCAAGUCGAGUGUGAAAGCCCCGAGCUUAACUUGGGAACUGCGCUCGAAACUACUUGGCUAGAGUGUGGCAGAGGGAGGUGGAAUUCCACGUGUAGCGGUGAAAUGCGUAGAGAUGUGGAGGAACACCAGUGGCGAAGGCGGCACUCUGGGCCGGUACUGACGCUGAGGAGCGAAAGCGUGGGGAGCGAACAGG
rnacentral:rRNA from 1 species